AACAGAAGAUAGAAGGUAGAAGAGGAGAUGAGGUACUAGAUAAGAUGAGGUCCUAGAUUAGAUCAGAUACAAGAAAAGAUCAGGUACUAGAUGAGAUAAGGCACGAGAUGAGAUAAGGCACUAGAUUAUAUUAGGUACUAGAUAAGAUAGGUACUAGAUUAUAUUAGGUACUAGAUGAGAUAAGGCACUAGAUUAUAUUAGGUACUAGAUAAGAUAGGUACUAGAUUAUAUUAGGUACUAGAUAAGAUAGGUACUAGAUUAUAUUAGGUACUAGAUAAGAUAGGUACUAGAUUAUAUUAGGUACUAGAUGAGAUAGGCACUAGAUUAUAUUAGGUACUAGAUGAGAUAAGGCACUAGAUUAUAUUAGGUACUAGAUAAGAUGAGGUCCUAGAUUAUAUUAGGUACUAGAUGAGAUAGGUACUAGAUUAUAUUAGGUACUAGAUGAGAUAAGGCACUAGAUUAUAUUAGGUACUAGAUAAGAUAGGUACUAGAUUAUAUUAGGUACUAGAUAAGAUAGGUACUAGAUUAUAUUAGGUACUAGAUAAGAUAGGUACUAGAUUAUAUUAGGUACUAGAUGAGAUAAGGCACUAGAUUAUAUUAGGUACUAGAUAAGAUAGGUACUAGAUUAUAUUAGGUACUAGAUAAGAUAGGUACUAGAUUAUAUUAGGUACUAGAUGAGAUAGGCACUAGAUUAUAUUAGGUACUAGAUGAGAUAGGUACUAGAUUAUAUUAGGUACUAGAUAAGAUAGGUACUAGAUUAUAUUAGGUACUAGAUAAGAUAGGUACUAGAUUAUAUUAGGUACUAGAUGAGAUAGGUACUAGAUUAUAUUAGGUACUAGAUAAGAUAGGUACUAGAUUAUAUUAGGUACUAGAUAAGAUAGGUACUAGAUUAUAAUAGGUACUAGAUAAGAUAGGCACUAGAUUAUAUUAGGUACUAGAUGAGAUAGGCACGAGAUUAUAUUAGGUACUAGAUAAGAUAGGUACUAGAUUAUAUUAGGUACUAGAUAAGAUGAGGCACUAGAUUAUAUUAGGUACUAGAUAAGAUGAGGUCCUAGAUUAGAUCAGAUACAAGAAAAGAUCAGGUACUAGAUGAGAUAAGGCACUAGAUUAUAUUAGGUACUAGAUAAGAUAGGUACUAGAUUAUAUUAGGUACUAGAUGAGAUAAGGCACUAGAUUAUAUUAGGUACUAGAUAAGAUAGGUACUAGAUUAUAUUAGGUACUAGAUAAGAUAGGUACUAGAUUAUAUUAGGUACUAGAUAAGAUAGGUACUAGAUUAUAUUAGGUACUAGAUGAGAUAGGCACUAGAUUAUAUUAGGUACUAGAUGAGAUAAGGCACUAGAUUAUAUUAGGUACUAGAUAAGAUAGGUACUAGAUUAUAUUAGGUACUAGAUAAGAUAGGUACUAGAUUAUAUUAGGUACUAGAUGAGAUAGGCACUAGAUUAUAUUAGGUACUAGAUGAGAUAGGUACUAGAUUAUAUUAGGUACUAGAUAAGAUAGGUACUAGAUUAUAUUAGGUACUAGAUAAGAUAGGUACUAGAUUAUAUUAGGUACUAGAUGAGAUAGGUACUAGAUUAUAUUAGGUACUAGAUAAGAUAGGUACUAGAUUAUAUUAGGUACUAGAUAAGAUAGGUACUAGAUUAUAAUAGGUACUAGAUAAGAUAGGCACUAGAUUAUAUUAGGUACUAGAUGAGAUAGGCACGAGAUUAUAUUAGGUACUAGAUAAGAUAGGUACUAGAUUAUAUUAGGUACUAGAUAAGAUGAGGCACUAGAUUAUAUUAGGUACUAGAUAAGAUGAGGUCCUAGAUUAGAUCAGAUACAAGAAAAGAUCAGGUACUAGAUGAGAUAAGGCACUAGAUUAUAUUAGGUACUAGAUGAGAUAGGCACUAGAUUAUAUUAGGUACUAGAUAAGAUAGGUACUAGAUUAUAUUAGGUACUAGAUAAGAUAGGCACUAGAUUAUAUUAGGUACUAGAUGAGAUGAGGUCCUAGAUUAGAUCAGAUACAAGAAAAGAUCAGGUACUAGAUGAGAUAAGGCACUAGAUUAUAUUAGGUACUAGAUAAGAUAGGUACUAGAUUAUAUUAGGUACUAGAUGAGAUAGGCACUAGAUUAUAUUAGGUACUAGAUAAGAUGAGGCACUAGAUUAUAUUAGGUACUAGAUAAGAUGAGGUCCUAGAUUAGAUCAGAUACAAGAAAAGAUCAGGUACUAGAUGAGAUAAGGCACUAGAUUAUAUUAGGUACUAGAUAAGAUAGGUACUAGAUUAUAUUAGGUACUAGAUGAGAUAGGCACUAGAUUAUAUUAGGUACUAGAUGAGAUAGGUACUAGAUUAUAUUAGGUACUAGAUGAGAUAGGCACGAGAUUAUAUUAGGUACUAGAUAAGAUAGGUACUAGAUUAUAUUAGGUACUAGAUGAGAUAAGGCACUAGAUUAUAUUAGGUACUAGAUAAGAUAGGUACUAGAUUAUAUUAGGUACUAGAUAAGAUGAGGUCCUAGAUUAGAUCAGAUACAAGAAAAGAUCAGGUACUAGAUGAGAUAAGGCACUAGAUUAUAUUAGGUACUAGAUAAGAUAGGUACUAGAUUAUAUUAGGUACUAGAUAAGAUGAGGUCCUAGAUUAGAUCAGAUACAAGAAAAGAUCAGGUACUAGAUGAGAUAAGGCACUAGAUUAUAUUAGGUACUAGAUAAGAUAGGUACUAGAUUAUAUUAGGUACUAGAUGAGAUAGGCACUAGAUUAUAUUAGGUACUAGAUAAGAUAGGUACUAGAUUAUAUUAGGUACUAGAUAAGAUAGGUACUAGAUUAUAUUAGGUACUAGAUAAGAUAGGCACUAGAUUAUAUUAGGUACUAGAUGAGAUAGGUACUAGAUUAUAUUAGGUACUAGAUAAGAUAGGUACUAGAUUAUAUUAGGUACUAGAUGAGAUAGGCACUAGAUUAUAUUAGGUACUAGAUGAGAUAGGCACUAGAUUAUAUUAGGUACUAGAUGAGAUAGGCACGAGAUUAUAUUAGGUACUAGAUAAGAUAGGUACUAGAUUAUAUUAGGUACUAGAUAAGAUGAGGCACUAGAUUAUAUUAGGUACUAGAUAAGAUAGGUACUAGAUUAUAUUAGGUACUAGAUAAGAUAGGUACUAGAUUAUAUUAGGUACUAGAUAAGAUAGGUACUAGAUUAUAUUAGGUACUAGAUAAGAUAGGCACUAGAUUAUAUUAGGUACUAGAUGAGAUAGGUACUAGAUUAUAUUAGGUACUAGAUAAGAUAGGUACUAGAUUAUAUUAGGUACUAGAUGAGAUAGGCACUAGAUUAUAUUAGGUACUAGAUAAGAUAGGUACUAGAUUAUAUUAGGUACUAGAUAAGAUAGGUACUAGAUUAUAUUAGGUACUAGAUAAGAUAGGCACUAGAUUAUAUUAGGUACUAGAUGAGAUAG